rnacentral:rRNA from 1 species
UUGUCACAAACUGCAUAGCAGAACGACCCGUGAACUUGUUCAUUUACCGUGAGCGCUACAUUGUGUCACUGGCACACCUGUGCUGCUUACUGCCGGGGUGCGAGCCCGUUUUCCUACACGGUUGCGAGCUCACACCCAUGGCCUAAUAACAAACCCCGGCGCAUAUCGCGCCAAGGAAAUUAAAUAAAGAGAUUGCUCCCCCCUCCUCCCGUUUGCGGGUUGUGAUCGGGGAAAGCAUCUUGCAUAUAACAAAACGACUCUCGGCAACGGAUAUCUAGGCUCUCGCAUCGAUGAAGAACGUAGCAAAAUGCGAUACUUGGUGUGAAUUGCAGAAUCCCGUGAACCAUCGAGUUUUUGAACGCAAGUUGCGCCCAAAGCCACUAGGCCGAGGGCACGCCUGCCUGGGCGUCUCACAAYGCGUCGCUCCCCGACCACCCCUAUGGGUGAUGCGUGGGGGCGGAUAUUGGCUCCCCGUGCGCAUUCGUGUGCGGUCAGCCUAAAGGCGAGCACCGGCGAUAGACGCUGCGGCAAUUGGUGGUUGUAAAAAGCCGAUUCAUUAUGUCACGUGCGUCCCAUCUCGGUCGGUGACUCUCAGACCCUGAAGCUCCAUUCACUUGGUGCCUCGAUCGCGACCCCA